CAGAAUACCAGAAGCUCUAUACAAUAUGAAAGUCCUGUUGGCUCUCGCUCUCCUCGGUGCAUUUGUUGCGGCAGUCUCGGCAGGUGCCGCGUGGCCGUCCAGCGGAUGGUCUUCCGGAUGGCCCUCCGGGGGAUAUAAGGUAGUAUCCGUCGGAUCGUCGGGCUGGAAGGGUGGGUGGCCCUCUUCUGGCUGGAAGGGUGGGUGGCCCUCUUCUGGCUGGAAGGGUGGGUGGCCUUCUUCUGGCUGGAAAUCCGGAUGGCCCUCUUCUUCUGGAUGGAAGGCUGGAUGGCCCUCUUCUUCUGGAUGGAAGGCUGGAUGGCCCUCUUCCGCUGGCUGGCCCUCGUCUGGAUGGAGCCCCAAAUCUGUGUCCUACGGAGGAUGGCCCUCGUCUGGAUGGUGGUGAAUGCCUGGAGAAUGCUUGUACAAAUUUGAAUCUGAAUAAACCAAUGAGGUUCCUACUGAA